CUGCUGACAGAUAUCCGGCAAACUGAUUUUUCAUUUCAAGGCAACCUACAGGAGACAUCAUUGUGAUAGAAACAUCUGUAGAACACAUCAUUCAGCCCAGAAAUCCGGUUCUGCUCAGAUCUGCUUCUAGAAAAUAUACCACAUGAGCACUGGAAUACAUGUGCUAGUUUCAGCAAGAAAAGUUCAACGGUCCUUGGUCUUCUCACUUUCUAGCCAAAUCAGGACUUUUUCAGGUAGUACCUACCAAAAGUUGUCCAAGGAGGGACAAGCAUUGAACAACAGUGACGGAACAAUUGUUGCCCAAGACUCACUGAUGUGGAUGGAAUGUGAAGAGCAUCCUGAACAGCUGCAUCAAUGGGAAUUGCACCGAUUUUAAGACCUUGAAGCAGAUAGUGAAGACAGCUGAGAAGAUCAUCAUGGUCUCUCUUUCCUCCCUCACAGACAAUUACACCACACGAGGCAUUCGCAAAGCCAUUAAAUUACACUUAUAAAAACAUCUUACUCAAAGUAUCUGUCUAAAUCUAGUUCAAGACAAUGUGCAUUGUUAAAAGCGCUAUACAAAUAAAAAUGAAUUGAUUUGAAUUGAAUGAUGCCACACACCCUUCAUCCUUCUAUCACACUUAUGCACACUUAUCCUCAAACGUGUUUGGUAUUUACUUGCUUUGUGAUUUGUGAUUAAUGUUGUGAUAUGCUAUAAAAAUUAAACCUAGACACUGUAAUGUUAAGGCCAAGGUUUGGGGAAGUGUUUGGUGAAAGAUUGAUAAAGACAAAAUAUUUAGUUUAAAGUUACAAUAGUUAAAAGGGGUAAAGUUCAUUGUAGUCUGUUGCUUUUGUUUCUCUGCAGUGCAACACAAAUGAAGUCCUGAAGAAAAACAUUUACUGAACAAAUCUACUGUAGUUUAUUUGCUUGACUAAUUUAAUAUUAGAAUGAGACCUAUAGCAGAUUUUCUUCUUUCCUGUUUUUCUUUUUGCAGUAUUCUCUGUUACCUAUACCUUUUUUUCUUAUUUGUAAUUUGUUCUU